AUCCUGGCUCAGGAUGAACGCUGGCGGCGUGCCUAAUACAUGCAAGUCGAGCGAACGGACGAGAAGCUUGCUUCUCUGAUGUUAGCGGCGGACGGGUGAGUAACACGUGGAUAACCUACCUAUAAGACUGGGAUAACUUCGGGAAACCGGAGCUAAUACCGGAUAAUAUUUUGAACCGCAUGGUUCAAAAGUGAAAGACGGUCUUGCUGUCACUUAUAGAUGGAUCCGCGCUGCAUUAGCUAGUUGGUAAGGUAACGGCUUACCAAGGCAACGAUGCAUAGCCGACCUGAGAGGGUGAUCGGCCACACUGGAACUGAGACACGGUCCAGACUCCUACGGGAGGCAGCAGUAGGGAAUCUUCCGCAAUGGGCGAAAGCCUGACGGAGCAACGCCGCGUGAGUGAUGAAGGUCUUCGGAUCGUAAAACUCUGUUAUUAGGGAAGAACAUAUGUGUAAGUAACUGUGCACAUCUUGACGGUACCUAAUCAGAAAGCCACGGCUAACUACGUGCCAGCAGCCGCGGUAAUACGUAGGUGGCAAGCGUUAUCCGGAAUUAUUGGGCGUAAAGCGCGCGUAGGCGGUUUUUUAAGUCUGAUGUGAAAGCCCACGGCUCAACCGUGGAGGGUCAUUGGAAACUGGAAAACUUGAGUGCAGAAGAGGAAAGUGGAAUUCCAUGUGUAGCGGUGAAAUGCGCAGAGAUAUGGAGGAACACCAGUGGCGAAGGCGACUUUCUGGUCUGUAACUGACGCUGAUGUGCGAAAGCGUGGGGAUCAAACAGGAUUAGAUACCCUGGUAGUCCACGCCGUAAACGAUGAGUGCUAAGUGUUAGGGGGUUUCCGCCCCUUAGUGCUGCAGCUAACGCAUUAAGCACUCCGCCUGGGGAGUACGACCGCAAGGUUGAAACUCAAAGGAAUUGACGGGGACCCGCACAAGCGGUGGAGCAUGUGGUUUAAUUCGAAGCAACGCGAAGAACCUUACCAAAUCUUGACAUCCUUUGACAACUCUAGAGAUAGAGCCUUCCCCUUCGGGGGACAAAGUGACAGGUGGUGCAUGGUUGUCGUCAGCUCGUGUCGUGAGAUGUUGGGUUAAGUCCCGCAACGAGCGCAACCCUUAAGCUUAGU
rnacentral:rRNA from 1 species